CUCACCAAGGCUGUGAUGGCUAGCUGGUCUGAGAGGAUGACCAGCCACACUGGGACUGAGACACGGCCCAGACUCCUACGGGAGGCAGCAGUGGGGAAUAUUGCGCAAUGGGCGAAAGCCUGACGCAGCGACGCCGCGUGGGUGAUGAAGGCCUUCGGGUCGUAAAGCCCUGUCGCAGGGGAAGAAUAAGCAUCGGUAUAAUACGCCGGUGCCCUGACGGUACCCUGCAAGAAAGCACCGGCUAACUCCGUG
rnacentral:rRNA from 1 species